AAAAAUGGUCCAGCUUCAUUAAAGCUCAAAUACUCAGCCGAAACAAUGUGGUGCUGGGAAAGAAAGAAGAGGCAAAACUAGAAAUUCAUCAAGAUGGCAUCUUUUGAAACACCAUCAGCCACCAGCACCGAUGUAAUAUCCUCAGCCAUUUGUUUGUGUCCACAGAGCACUGCCCCGGUCGUUGACGGAUUCAAUAACUUUUUUUCUCUAGAAAAAGCAGCCUGUACAUAUCCAUUUUCACCUUUCCAUAAAUCAUCUGGUUGUGACAAAACAGGUACAAUCCUAACA
rnacentral:misc_RNA from 1 species